rnacentral:rRNA from 1 species
GACGAACGCUGGCGGCGUGCUUAACACAUGCAAGUCGAACGGAAAGGCCCUGCUUUUGUGGGGUGCUCGAGUGGCGAACGGGUGAGUAACACGUGAGUAACCUGCCCUUGUCUUUGGGAUAACUUCUGGAAACUGGGGCUAAUACCGGAUAGGAGCUCCUGCUGCAUGGUGGGGGUUGGAAAGUUUCGGCGGUUGGGGAUGGACUCGCGGCUUAUCAGCUUGUUGGUGUGGUAGUGGCUUACCAAGGCUUUGACGGGUAGCCGGCCUGAGAGGGUGACCGGGCACAAGGGGACUGAGAGACGGACCAGACUGCUACGGGAGGCAACAGGGGGGAAUAUGACACAAUGGGCGGAAGCCUGAUGCAGCAACGCCGCGUGCGGGAUGACGGCCUUCGGGUUGUAAACCGCUUUCGCCUGUGACGAAGCGUGAGUGACGGUAAUGGGUAAAGAAGCACCGGCUAACUACGUG